AACCUCCGCAAUGUGAGAAAUCGCGACGGGGGGAUCCCAAGUGCCAUUCUUAACGGGAUGGCUUUUCAUUAGUGUAAAGAGCUUUUGGAAUAAGAGCUGGGCAAGACCGGUGCCAGCCGCCGCGGUAACACCGGCAGCUCUAGUGGUAACAAUUUUUAUUGGGCCUAAAGCGUCCGUAGCCGGUUUAAUAAGUCUCUGGUGAAAUCCUGUAGCUUAACUAUGGGAAUUGCUGGAGAUACUAUUAGACUUGAGACCGGGAGAGGUUAGAGGUACUCCCAGGGUAGAGGUGAAAUUCUGUAAUCCUGGGAGGACCGCCUGUUGCGAAGGCGUCUAACUGGAACGGUUCUGACGGUGAGGGACGAAAGUUAGGGGCGCGAACCGGAUUAGAUACCCGGGUAGUCCUAACUGUAAACGAUGCGGACUUGGUGUUGGGGUGGCUUUGAGCUGUUCCAGUGCCGAAGGGAAGCUGUUAAGUCCGCCGCCUGGGAAGUACGGUCGCAAGACUGAAACUUAAAGGAAGU
rnacentral:rRNA from 1 species